rnacentral:tRNA from 1 species
GGCUCGGUAGCUUAGUUGGUAAAGCACUUGUCAAGGGUCGUGAUUUCAAAUCUCACCUGAGCUG